rnacentral:rRNA from 1 species
AGUAAAAGUCGUAACAAGGUUUCCGUAGGUGAACCUGCGGAAGGAUCAUUAUUGAAUUCCAAUUGGGUCAGGUUGUGCUGGCUGAAAAGCAAGUGCACGCCUGCUCAUAAGCAUUCAAACCUCUGUGCACCUUUCAUAGAAUAGCUUGUAGAUUGGGUGACCUGUGUCACUUGGUUUGCAGCUGCUCUGUGUUUUUACAAACUUAUAAAUCAGUUCAGAAUGUUUAUUGUGUAAAUACACAUUUUUAUACAACUUUCAGCAACGGAUCUCUUGGCUCUCGCAUCGAUGAAGAACGCAGCGAAAUGCGAUAAGUAAUGUGAAUUGCAGAAUUCAGUGAAUCAUCGAAUCUUUGAACGCACCUUGCGCUCCUUGGUAUUCCGAGGAGCAUGCCUGUUUGAGUGUCAUGGUAUUCUCAAUUCUCCAGGUCUUUGUAAGACUCUGGUGAUAUUGGACUUGGAGGCUAUUGCUGGAACCUUGCAGGUACCUGCUCCUCUCAAAUGUAUCAGUAUGAAUGUUCACUUCAUGCUCAGUGUGAUAAUUAUCUGCACUGUGUCUGAGUGUCAUAGAUUCAUGCUUCAAACUGUCGUCAAGACAAUUCAUUUGACUUCUGACCUCAAAUCAGGUAGGACUACCCGCUGAACUUAAGCAUAUCAAUAAGCGGAGGA